GUUUGCUUUGGCAGAGACACAUAAUAAAAUUGGAACGAUACCGAGAAGACUAGCAUGGCCCUUGCACAGGGAUGACAUGCAAGUUCAUGAAGCGUUCCAUAUUUUU